AUAUUCAAUUACUAAUUCUAAGGUAAAUUCAACAUUAACAAUAAAUAUUCAACAAAUUAACUAAUAAUAAUUAUGCCAAUACAACCAUAAAAAAUAUUCAAUAAAUUCAAAAAAAAAACUAUAGACUUUAGGAAUGAAAUAUGCUUACUUUAAUAAUGUGUUGAAUUCAAUACUUUAUCUACAUUACAAAAAAUAUACCAAAACAAAAAACAUAGCAAAAAAAAAUAGCAAAAAAA
rnacentral:lncRNA from 1 species